rnacentral:rRNA from 1 species
ACAAGCGGAGGAGCAUGUGGUUUAAUUCGAUGAUACGCGAGGAACCUUACCUGGGCUCGAACGUAAGAUGACUGUAGGUGAAAGCUUACAUCUCUUCGGAGCAUUUUACGAGGUGCUGCAUGGUUGUCGUCAGCUCGUGCCGUGAGGUGUCGGGUUAAGUCCCGCAACGAGCGCAACCCCUACGCUGAGUUACCAGCACGUAAAGGUGGGGACUCUCAGUGGACUGCCGGCGACAAGCCGGAGGAGGGUGGGGACGACGUCAAGUCAUCAUGGCCCUCAUGUCCAGGGCGACACACGUGCUACAAUGGCCGGUACAGAGCGCAGCGAGGCCGCGAGGCGGAGCGAAUCGCUUAAAGCCGGUCCCAGUACGGAUUGGAGUCUGCAACCCGACUCCAUGAAGUUGGAAUCGCUAGUAAUCGCGCAUCAGCAUGGCGCGGUGAAUACGUUCCCGGGCCUU